UACGAAGGGGGCUAGCGUUGUUCGGAUUUACUGGGCGUAAAGCGCACGUAGGCGGAUCGUUAAGUCGGGGGUGAAAUCCUGGAGCUCAACUCCAGAACUGCCUUCGAUACUGGCGAUCUCGAGUCCGGAAGAGGUGAGUGGAACUCCUAGUGUAGAGGUGGAAUUCGUAGAUAUUAGGAAGAACACCAGUGGCGAAGGCGGCUCACUGGUCCAUUACUGACGCUGAGGUGCGAAAGCGUGGGGAGCAAACAGG
rnacentral:rRNA from 1 species